AUACGGAGGAUCCGAGCGUUAUCCGGAUUUAUUGGGUUUAAAGGGAGCGUAGGUGGACAUGUAAGUCAGUUGUGAAAGUUUGCGGCUCAACCGUAAAAUUGCAGUUGAUACUGUGUGUCUUGAGUACAGUAGAGGUGGGCGGAAUUCGUGGUGUAGCGGUGAAAUGCUUAGAUAUCACGAAGAACUCCGAUUGCGAAGGCAGCUCACUGGACUGUUACUGACACUGAGGCUCGAAAGUGUGGGUAUCAAACAGGAUUAGAUACCCUGGUAGUCCACACAGUAAACGAUGAAUACUCGCUGUUUGCGAUAUACGGCAAGCGGCCAAGCGAAAGCAUUAAGUAUUCCACCUGGGGAGUACGCCAGCAACGGUGAAACUUAAAGGAAUUGACGGGG
rnacentral:rRNA from 1 species